rnacentral:tRNA from 1 species
CUUAGGAUACUAAAACCAAGGGCCUUCAAAGCCCUAAAAAAGGGUGUAAACCCCUUAGUUUUUG